rnacentral:rRNA from 1 species
CGCCGCGUGGGUGAUGAAGGCUUCGGGUCGUAAAGCCCUGUCAAGGGGGACGAAGCCUCGUCGACCUAAUACGUCGGCGACCUGACGGUACCUCUGAAGGAAGCACCGGCUAACUCCGUGCCAGCAGCCGCGGUAAUACGGAGGGUGCAAGCGUUGUUCGGAAUCACUGGGCGUAAAGCGCGUGUAGGCGGCCUUCUUAGUCUGGUGUGAAAGCCCGGGGCUCAACCCCGGAAGAGCAUUGGAUACUGGAAGGCUGGAGUACCGGAGAGGAGGGUGGAAUUCCUGGUGUAGCGGUGAAAUGCGUAGAUAUCAGGAGGAACACCGGUGGCGAAGCGGCCCUCUGGACGGAUACUGACGCUGAGACGCGACAGCGUGGGGACAAACAGGAUUAGAUACCCUGGUAUCCACGCCGUAAACGAUGGGUACUAGUGUUCGGGUAUUGACCC